AGCCCAAGGCUCAUGCUUCAGCGGUCUCGCCACAGCUGUCCGAGCUCCGCUGGGUCAGUGGCUGGACUGGAGAUAUUUGAGACCUUGCAAAUGAUUAAAUGUGUCUUCCUUGCGCUUGCCCUGGCGCCGUGCGCGCUUUCCCAGCUGCAGCUGGUGGCCUCCGGCCCUGGAGUGGGCAAAGUCUCCGACCCCCUCACCCUGAGCUGCGCUGUCUCCGGGUUCUCCAUCACUACUCAGUAUUACUACUGGUACUGGAUCCGGCAGCCCCCCGGGAAAGGCCUGGAGUGGAUGGGGUAUGUGUACCCGUAUAGCGGGAGCACAAGCUACGCCCCGUCUCUCCAAGGCCUAAUCACCAUCUCUGCAGACACGGCCAGGAACCAGUUUUCCCUGCAGCUCCGCUCCCUGAAAGCUGCAGACACAGGCACCUACUACUGCGCCAGAGGAGACAUGGUGACACAGAGACAGGGGGCCUGGGAUAAAAAGGGGGCGAGCCAAACGCUUCGCCUCCCGGAGAGAAAGCACCUGACUUUGCCCUUGUGGUCUGCUCCCUUCUGCGGUCACUUUUAGUUGAAGGAGACGCUUUUCCAGAGGCACUCACGAAGGUGGAGGGAAGCAGAAAAGAAGAAACAUCUGCACUUGUGAAUGUGCAGGAGAGAGACUUUGUUCCAGGAGUUUUGCAGAUUUGGAAACCACCAAUCUGGACCUGAGGUUGCAACAGACUCUCCUGUCCGCUCCACAGCUGAAUUGGGGAGUUGAGGUUCUGGGGUGGGGAGGCUCUCUGACAAAGGACUGGCAUUUCCUGGCUGCCCUAACUCUGGCCCAUGUGAGGGAGUGUGUGUGUAUGUGUGAGUUUUUCCGGGUGAGAUAGAGUAUUUCUGGGUUUCUGUAACCCACACACCUUCUGGAUGUGGUGUUUCCUCCCGUCUAGGGGCACCAAGACCACUUGAUUAAUGAGUCUGCUCUACAGCCCUCGCUAAGAGACACAUGAUUUUUGGCUCAUGGGGUAGAGGCUCAUAC